GCUAGUUUAGGGUAAAUUUAAGAAACUAUUGUUCAGUUACAAUUUUGUGCUCAAUAAAGGAAAAUACAAUUUCUUUAAAAUUUACUGGCGCCCGAUCAGGGACUCGUGUAAAGGACAUAAUCUCAUUAAGUUAGGUUUGUGGAUUAAUUUCCCGUCACUAGCCCUCGUACUACUAGAGAGAAUCCUUCAACUGAAACUGAGGAACGAACCUCAUCGUGGGAAUAUAGAUGGAUUGUUAGAUAGUCGGAUGUACGCAAUAGGAGUAACAUAAUUUUCACUGAGGGAAAUGUGCUGCUGCAGCAACUUAAACUACAUAUGCUGCUUUGUAGCCCACAUCAAGGCAACGAAGCGAUGAAGGGGUAUGCUGGUCAAAGGCGCAGAUAAGAUUGAAAUCAUCAGCAUGAAAUUAUCUAUAUGUACAUAUACAUGUAUAAAUGUGAU